rnacentral:rRNA from 1 species
AGCAGCCGCGGUAAUUCCAGCUCCAAUAGCGUAUAUUAAAGUUGUUGCAGUUAAAAAGCUCGUAGUUGAAUUUCGGGGUCAGUAGGUCGGUCGUGCCAACGGUAUGAACUGGUCUCACUGAUUCCUCCCUCUUGUAGAACCGUGAUGCCAUUAAUUUGGUGUUGCGGGGAAACAGGACUGUUACUUUGAAAAAAUUAGAGUGUUUAAAGCAAGCUAACGCUUGAAUACAUUAGCAUGGAAUAAUGAAACAGGACGUCUGUCUUAUUUUGUUGGUUUCUAGGAUGGACGUAAUGAUUAAUAGGGAUAGUUGGGGGCAUUAGUAUUCAAUGGUCAGAGGUGAAAUUCUUGGAUUUAUUGAAGACUAACUACUGCGAAAGCAUUUGCCAAGGAUGUUUUCAUUAAUCAAGAACGAAAGUUAGGGGAUCGAAGACGAUCAGAUACCGUCGUAGU